rnacentral:rRNA from 1 species
AUACGGAGGGUCCAAGCGUUAUCCGGAUUCAUUGGGUUUAAAGGGCCCGCAGGCGGGAAAAUAAGUCAGUGGUGAAAGCCUACAGCUCAACUGUAGAACUGCCAUUGAUACUGUUUUUCUUGAGUAUAGAUGAAGUGGGCGGAAUAUAUCAUGUAGCGGUGAAAUGCAUAGAUAUGAUAUAGAACACCGAUUGCGAAGGCAGCUCACUAAACUAUUACUGACGCUCAGGGACGAAAGCGUGGGUAGCAAACGGGAUUAGAAACCCUAGUAGUCC